AGCGUAGACGGCACGGCAAGCCAGAUGUGAAAGCCCGGGGCUCAACCCCGGGACUGCAUUUGGAACUGCUGAGCUAGAGUGUCGGAGAGGCAAGUGGAAUUCCUAGUGUAGCGGUGAAAUGCGUAGAUAUUAGGAGGAACACCAGUGGCGAAGGCGGCUUACUGGACGACAACUGACGCUGAGGCUGAAAGCUGGGGGAGCAAACA
rnacentral:rRNA from 1 species